UUAAAUGCAUUGAAGCAAUUGGUUAAUGAGAAAUUGAACAGGUGUUCCUAAUAAUCCUUUAGGUGAGUGUAUAAACAUUAACAAUGAGAGAGUGAUACACUGUAGUAAAUGUUUAUCAACUCAAAAUCUGAGACUUACCUGAAAAGGGUUUAAUAUUCACAUAUUCCCAUUUCCUUAUUGCAACCUUUAAUUUUUUUGUCUUUCCAAAGUAAACUGAAUGAUCAGUGCCUUUAGUAUGAAGCUGGGGUAUGCAAGUACUUCAAAUAUAUUUUUUGUUUAAAUUUCAAUGGAAACAAGAUAUUACCUAAGGUUGCAAUAAUAAUAUUUAAGAUACAUAUGUUUGUAUGUAAUAAUGUUUUGCAUUCUUUAAUUCUUUACAGAUUGUUUGCAUUGUGCUGUCUAAACAAAUAUAAACAACACUCCCUUUAAAAAUGAAUGGAACAAAGAAUAUCAUACAGCUAAAAUGUACAUUGCAUAACCAUUGGAGUCAAUCCUUUGCAAAGGUUUCUGAAAGUACAUGCAAUACACAACAGUUUCUGAGGAAAUGUUUUGUUUUUUUUGUUUUUUUUUUAAAUUCUAACAAGCUUUUACUGGAAAGCAAGGGAGCAAUAUGUGAACUUUAACAAAGGUCAGCGAAUGUAUGCCUCAUAUUGAUGUUUUUCUGCCAAUACCUGACCAUCAGUUACUAUGUGCACUAUACAGAAGAUAACAGGCUAAAAAAACUUAAUAUUGGAAGCUAUUGCCUUUGAUAGUAAUUAUGCAUCAUUUAAGGCAGUUGCAUACAAGAGUAUUCAAGAAGAGUGUAAUUGCAAUCUAAAAACUUGAGCUUCUUAUGAGUCACUAAUCAUGUUUUGCUUUAAAUUCUGUGUAUACAGUAUAUUUACUUGACAACAUAUUUUGUAUUUUCUUUCGUAUUGACUUUUCUGUUUUAUAGUGUUAAUGCAAGAAAUCAAAUAUGUGUAAAUAAAUAUAUUUUUAUAUUUAUA